rnacentral:lncRNA from 1 species
CUAGCAGAUAAUCUAAUCGGGUUAGGAAAUAAAGUAUCCGAUAGAGAGAUUAUAGGGUUUUCUUUAGAUGGGUUGCCGGUGGAAUUUCAAGCAUUCCAAACUUCUGUACGUAAACACCCAAAGAUCGUUGUCAUAUGAUGAUUUUUAUCAUUUUCUUAUUUCUGAAGACUUGGUGAUCAGACAACGCAAUAAAGAAAUGGUGUCAUCAAGUUCGUCGACUUCCUUUGGUGGAGCAUUUAUAGCCCAAAGAGGGAAGUUUAGAGGAGGUAAGAAUUUUUAUAAAAAUAAAGGCAGGGGUGCACGUUUUCAGAAUCAAAGAGGAGGAUUUGGAGGAAGGAGCCAUGGUUCUUUUAGGAAUUCUGAUAGUCAAGCUCAGAAUUUUAUUAAUCCAAAUUUCUUUUAGCACACCUCAUGCUAUUAACUCCAAUAUUUCAUUUCAAAUUUGUAAUAAAAAUGGGCAUACAUCUCGUGUUUGCUCAGAUUGAGGGAAUUAUGCUUAUGUUGCAGGCACCUUAGUCAACUCAUCUUCUCAACAUCCCAUGGAGGAUGUGGCCGAUGAAAAUUGGUGUCUAGACUCGGG